rnacentral:rRNA from 1 species
UACGAAGGGGGCUAGCGUUGCUCGGAAUCACUGGGCGUAAAGCGCACGUAGGCGGCUUUCUAAGUCAGGGGUGAAAUCCUGGAGCUCAACUCCAGAACUGCCUUUGAUACUGGAGAGCUUGAGUCCGGGAGAGGUGAGUGGAACUCCGAGUGUAGAGGUGAAAUUCGUAGAUAUUCGGAAGAACACCAGUGGCGAAGGCGGCUCACUGGCCCGGUACUGACGCUGAUGUGCGAAAGCGUGGGUAGCAAACAGG